GUGAAGAGAGUCACACCUGCUGUGGAAAUUUGACAGACGGAGAAGAAGCUGAUGUGAAAGAUUAUUUUACUUGUUAGGAGAAGAGAACUAAUAAAGACUUUGAUUUUUUUUGAAGAUAAUAGAUGUGGUUUUCGAACAUCUUACGUGUCUUUAUCUCAGUGGCUAGUUUCAUUUUGAUUUUUCCAACCUUUUACACACACAAAAAAAAAACAAUUCGUUUUUGUCACCAUCAUUACAAAAGUAUUCAAGACUGUGACAUUAGUAUAAAAAGGUUUAAGAAUAAUAUGGAUCUUAGAGAUAUAAUUUUCAUUAAAAAUCAAAAACAGAUAUAAUAACCAAAAAGAAAAAGAGUUUUAGUAGCACAAGGAAGGCCACAUGCAUCAUUUAGCAACAAGCCAAAAUCCCAAAGACUAUGUAUUGAGUUUGGAUAGUUUCUAACCUCCUGUGACAUAAAUACAAAAAUGAAUCAAACUUCGCUAGUCAAAGCUGUCUCUGUGGUCGGGACAAGUCAUACAAAACACCACAGAGACAGAGAGCUUAUCGUGUAUUGUUAUUCUUCAACGAGGUUCAAGAUUGUUGGAUUCUUGGUGAUCUCAUCUCUAAAAAAAAUGGUACAUGGACUUCAACGGAUGUGAUAAGCAUACGGACAAUAACAUAUCUUAAGCUAAAAAGGACCAAGAACACACAAUUUCAUUCUUCUUCAGACAUAUUUGUGUCCCUAGAAUCUCAUAAAGCAGCAUGGCGACACAGGAGGACACGAUCAAGAAGCUUCCUCCUUGCCUCGUAGACUGGACUCGGAUCUAUCAAACGUCCUCUCUCAUAAGCCUCUCGGAGAAAGACAGUGUGUAUUUUCCCUUUAGUUGAAAUAUAAAACAUGCCCGGGUGAUCCAAGAACAAAUCCCUUAUGUUCAAACCAACGUUUAUUUAUUUUUUAUAUUUAUGGAUUGUUUACAUGGCUUACUCUUUAUCAACUGAGCAUGCAUGCUGCAAUCUUUGAUAAAUAAAGACCAAACUAUUUUACAUAUCUCUCAUCAAUUAUUGCUUUUUUCUUUCCCUUCUUCCACACAAACAGCAUAUAUUAUACACAUUGUUUACAGUAAACGUAUAUGGUUCCAGAACGAUGAGCCUCAAAGCUUUGGAAUCACUACUCUCAGAAGCCCAUC